rnacentral:rRNA from 1 species
UACAGAGGGUGCAAGCGUUAAUCGGAAUUACUGGGCGUAAAGCGUGCGUAGACGGUUGCGUAAGUCAGAUGUGAAAGCCCCGGGCUCAACCUGGGAAUUGCAUUUGAGACUGCGUAGCUAGGGUGCGGAAGAGGGAAGCGGAAUUUCCGGUGUAGCGGUGAAAUGCGUAGAUAUCGGGAGGAACACCAGAGGCGAAGGCGGCUUUCUGGCCUGUAACUGACGCUGAGGCGCGAAGGCUGGGGUAGCGAACAGG